rnacentral:rRNA from 1 species
AUACGGAGGGUGCAAGCGUUACGCGGAAUCACUGGGCGUAAAGCGCGCGCAGGCGGCUAUUUAAGUUGGAUGUGAAAGCCUACGGCUCAACCGUAGAACUGCAUCCAAAACUAUUUAGCUAGAGUGUGGGAGAGGAAGAUGGAAUUAGUUGUGUAGGGGUAAAAUCCGUAGAGAUAACUAGGAAUACCAAAAGCGAAGGCAAUCUUCUGGAACACUACUGACGCUGAGGCGCGAAAGCGUGGGGAGCAAACGGGAUUAGAAACCCUAGUAGUCC